rnacentral:rRNA from 1 species
UUACUGCUAUCGAGGUUCGACUAAGCCAUGCGAGUCGAAUGUAGCAAUACAUGGCGUACUGCUCAGUAACACGUGGACAACCUACCCUCCGGACGGGUAUAAACCCGGGAAACUGGGUAUAAUCCCCGAUAGAUCUCGGUCGCUGGAAAGCCCCGAGAUCGAAAGCUCCGGCGCCAGAGGAUGGGUCUGCGGCCUAUCAGGUAGUAGUGGGUGUAGCGUACCUACUAGCCUACGACGGGUACGGAUCGUGAGAGCAAGAGCCCGGAGAUGGAUUCUGAGACACGAAUCCAGGCCCUACGGGGUGCAGCAGGCGCGAAAACUUUACAAUGCCGGCAACGGCGAUAAGGGGACCUCGAGUGCCAGGUUACAAAUCUGGCUGUCGUGAUGCCUAAAAAGCAUUGCAUAGCAAGGGCCGGGCAAGACCGGUGCCAGCCGCCGCGGUAACACCUGCGGCUCGAGUGGUAACCGUUAUUAUUGGGUCUAAAGGGUCUGUAGCCGGCCGGAUAAGUCUCUUGAGAAAUCCAGCAGCUCAACUGUUGGGCUUUCAGGA